rnacentral:tRNA from 1 species
GGGGAUUUAGCUCAGUGGUAGAACGCUUGCCUAGCAAGCACAAGGCCCUGGGUUCGGUUCCCAGCUCCG